UUUUUUGGGGUAGUUAGGAUUGGUCUUAGGCAAAGAACCCUUCCCCCCCAAUACACGUGCUGAGAAGUUAUCCCUUCCUGUCCACCCAGGUUCCCAGUCCCAGCUCUACCCAUUUGCCUUGUAACCUGGAAAAGCAUCUUUACUAACGUGUGCCUCAGUUUCCUUAUGUGUAAGGUGGGGGUAAUAGCAGUUCCCAUCCCAUGGGCUGUCAUGAGCACUGGAUGAGGUGGCACAUGGACCCCACCUGGCAUGGAGUUGGGGAGCCACACCCUAACUCCCCACCCCAGAGCCUUCUCAAGUAUUUUUGGCUCUUGUUUGCUCCCUUCUGGCACUGGAGGAGCAUGAACCUUCCUGAUCUGUGCGCCCUGCCCUGGCCCAGAGCUGGUGUAAAUAAAUGCUUAACCCAGCUCAUCUUCCAGAACCCUGAAGCGGGGAUGAGUACUUCCCUUCCUUAGAUGAGGACACUGAGGCCAGAGGGUGAGUAACCAGCUCGAGGUCACAGUGCCGGUCCCUGCUGAGGCUGGCCUUGCACAUGGGGCUGUCUAGUGACCAGCCUUGUUCUCCAGAGAAGGGAGGUGCAGCCAGCCUCGGCCAUGUGGAAACAUUUCUUCAGAGCCUGGGGCAGUCUUAGUGGUAGCCCUGGGCCUACAGAGUGGACGCUGGUGGGGACUCUGGCCUCCCUGGGGCCCACCUACCUGCUGGAAAGCCAGGCCAAGGCUGGCAGGGGGCUCACAUCCCUUAUCUCUGCUUUUCCAUGAGAGGGAAGCAGGCAGGGGUCAUUCAUUACUUCUCUGUCCUUUAGUCCAGGAAAUAGGCUCAGAGAGGUCAGGUGACUUGCCCAUGGUCACACAGCUGAGGAGUACAGUAGCCAAGCCUGGCUACUUGCCUUCAGAUCUCAGGCUAGGGGGUGUCUGGCUUUAUAUCUGACAUCCUCCCUGGGCCACUUCUCCAAGCUCCAUGCUGCUGACCACUGCCUGCCUUUCCGCCCCAGUCCUACCCGGCUCUGACUACAGGGCCAUACCAGCCACCCCACUCCUGUGCUCCAGAAUCCUCAGCGCCUCUUGGUCCCCCAGGAUGUGGUCAGACUUCCCAGCCCGGUCUCGAGACCCUCUGUCAGCUGAAUGUCCUGCUGGCUGGUUUAGAUGUUCAGCUGCCCCUCAGACUGGGCAUAGCUGCUCCCCUUUGUGGCCCUCUGAGAUGGAGAUCCUGGGGGCUGGCGGGGAGAAUGUCCCCCUGCUCCACGUUUGCGGAGCUGCUGCCAGAGUUCCUGCUCAGAGGGACGGGGCCGGCCUGGGCACUACCUAGUCCCCAGCCCAGCCGCGUCUUUGCAUGCUGGGUGCUCUGCCAUGCCUGGCAUCCUGCUGCCCUCUGUGAAUGCCCACAGCCACCUCCUCACAGGUCUCCUGCUCUCAGCUCCCAUGCUCAUUUCUGAGUAUUUGCUUUGUUGAGCUGGUUACAGAUAACAGGAUCGAGCCCUGCCCUGAGGUGGACACUGAUGUGGGAUCCAGAUUGCCCCGUCUCCUCGCCCUUCCUACUCGUGUCUCUCCUCUGAGGUCUCCUUCAGAAGACCCAGCCCACAGCCCCAUUGGCAGCCCCAUCCCUUCUGGAUUUAGGCCCUGGCUCUGCCACCAGGGCUAGGUGACCUUGACCAAGGCACAACCCCUCUCUGAGCCUUAGUUUGCGCAUCUGCACAGUUGGGGGUCCUACCCACCUAGAAUGCUCAGCACGCUCACGUGGACUGUGUGCCCAGCCAGGGCCUGGCACACAGCAGGUCCUCUGAGCUGCCAUCCGCUCCCUCCCCUCUGCAGAAAGAGAAGAUCCGGGAGAAGUUCGUGGAAGCCCUGAAAACAGAGUUUGCUGGCAAAGGGCUGAGGUUCUCUCGAGGAGGCAUGAUCAGCUUUGACGUCUUCCCCGAGGGCUGGGACAAGCGCUACUGCCUGGAUAGCCUGGACCAGGACAGCUUCGACACCAUCCACUUCUUUGGGAACGAGACUAGCCCUGGUGGGAACGACUUUGAGAUCUUUGCCGACCCCCGGACUGUUGGCCACAGCGUGGUGUCUCCUCAGGACACGGUGCAGCGAUGCCGGGAGAUUUUCUUCCCAGAGACAGCUCAUGAGGCGUGACCGGGGCCCACAUCUGUGUGUCGUGACUUCUGAAGAGUUUGGCCUAGGCCUAAAGAGAGGUCCUGGUGUUGGAUAGAUGCCAGGGCCCCUCCUCUGGCCCAGGACGCCUGCUGCAAGCCCACCCAGAUGGGGCCAGAGUCUGUGUGGACAACCGUCCCCAGCCAGUCUGCUCCUAGUGGCACUGGCUUCGUCCUCCCAGGGCCCAGAGUGUUCCCCAUGCUCCACCUGGUGGCCCAGGCCACAGCUGCUGCUUGUAUUUCGGUACAGAAGAGGUUUCUUUCUGCACCAGGAGGAGGCGUGCUCAAGUAUCGGUACGAGAUCUAGCCUGCCCUGCCUGCCUGCCCUGGGCGAUGAGGUACGGUGGGGAAGGUGCCUAUUUUAGAGAACUUUGUCACAGUAUUAAAGUUCCCAGAAC
rnacentral:lncRNA from 1 species